AUCCAGCUGACGAGUCCAAAAUAAGACGAAUCGCGAGUCUUGGAU
rnacentral:hammerhead_ribozyme from 1 species